UGAGCAGCCCCAACUCACAGCCACAGCCCACAGCCCCAGCAGGUGGCCUAACUCACACAACUGGGAAAUCCUUCUACCCGAAAUGACCCACAUUUGCUCUUAACCAUAUCAGUGUGGACUUGGUCCUGCUAUUGUGUGGGCCUUUUUCAUCUUACAGGCGUCUGCAGUGACAUUAGAAAUAAAAUUUAUUUCACUCAAUGUUAUACCAUGAGUAUAUCUCCAUGAUACCUCCCUCUUUAUGUGUCAUACUCUCCCUCAUGAUACCUCCCUCUUUAUGUGUCAUACUCUCCCUUCGGGGACCGAUUGAGUGACCCAGGAUCUCCCGAAGCUUUCCCAAGGCACUCACAAAGCCAAACAGUGACUGGCUGGCAUUUGCCAGAGCUCGCCAAAUGCCAGCACCCCUGGCUAAGUGUAUACAGGAGUUAUCUCACCUAAUCCAUCUUCAUUUGUAGACCAGUAAACUGAGGAGGUUACCUGGAUGGUCAAGGUCAUCCAGUCCCUAAGUGGGAGCAGGAGCUGAGAAACAGACACGGCGAACGUGUUCCUGAAGCCAGAGCCCGCCACACUGCGGACGUCUGUCCAGUAAAGAUGACGCAGUCACACUGGCUCCCGGUCAUGCUGAGCGGCCCCAGACUCUCACCAGAGGGAUUUCACCUUAAGUCGACGCCACGUUGUGUAUCUAAAUACCUGUAUCUGAAAAGGACGCGCAGAAGCCACAGAGUUCGCCGCAGUUUACCACAGACUCGGAAACUUCAUGGGGUCCCUGCAAGUAGCGCCGUCUUCCCAGCAGCGCCGGCCCCUCGAGUCCUCCCGGAAGCAUCCGGACUCAGGCCUUGCGCUUCUCUGCCGCAUGCAACAGCCUCGUGGCCCCUAAGGCUUGCCGACUCCCCUACCAGGCUGAGCUCCCGGAGAAAGGGGUCUGUGGCCUGCAUUUGAUUUAUCCCUCACAGUUUACCGCGUGCCAGGCACUGUCCUGAGAUCCUUGCCAGUGAACCAUUUAAUCCCCUUUUAUACCUCUGGGUUCUCGUGAGGAAACAGCCGAAGAAUUCAUUUUAAACCCAGAAAGGAGGAGUAUGUGUCCCAGGUCACACAGCUGGUCGGUGUCAGAGCUUGGUUUCAAGCCCAGGCAGGCUGGUUCAAGAGUCCCAGGACUUAAUGUGGUGCCAUUCCUAGUUCAGGACGGGCAAAGAGUAGGCGCCAAGAAAUGUUUGUCCACUAAAGAGUACAAUCAUGAUGCUAGCUAACAAUUCCUGACGAUUUCUAUGUGCCAGGCACAACCAGUUAUGAGAGAAGCACACUUAUUCCCUUUGAGUCUGAGAGGAAUCUCACAUGGGAUGCUGGCAGCUGGGACUCCGGGGGUGCGGCCUGACCCUCUUGCUGAGUCUCAGAGGUGAGCUCAGCCCAGUGGUGAACAGUGAAGAAACCAAGGGCGGGACCCUCAGAGCCAUGGGCUCCCCACCCUGCUGCAGCCACAGCUGCAUGGAAUAACAGUAUGGAUUAUUGCCUAACAUCUGUUGGUGCUUACUUUGUGCCAGGCCCGGGGCUAAAUACUUACCCUGCAAAUCUCAUUCUGUCAUUUUCCAAGGAGGAAAUUGAAACCCCAAGAAGUUAAAAACAUCACCUACCUGAGGCCACUCCAGUAGUGGGGAGUGAGGAGGCUGAUGCUGGAAUCCAGAUGGUUCCAAAGAGCCCUGACUCUUCAACCCACUCUUGGCAGUUCCCAAACUUGCCCAAAAACACUAACUGCCUGGAGGUCGGGACCAACCCAAACCCCUGCCUGCCCCAGCUCCCUUGCACUGGACUCCUCAGAAACAGGGCCUGCGAAACUGCAUUGGUGUCCAGGUGAUUCUCAUCAGCUGGCAGGUAGGAGAACCGCAACCGUCCCAGACUGCGCAGGCUCCAGUUCUUGAGGGCCUGGGAGAAACUGGAGUCAGAUUUCCCCUCUCCGGGCCCUGCUCUUCUAUCUCAGGGUCUCUGUGUGUUUGCUGUAAUCCAGUGGCUGAGGCUGCUGCACAAGCCAGGUGGCUGUCAGGACCCCAAGCGGGAAAGUAAAAUGACAGGUUGGGAGAGGGACUCUGGGACAUGCCUGUUUCGGUCCAGACCCCAAAGCCAUCCCUGUGGCUUGGGAAGCUCAGGUCCUGCCCAUGCUGCUUUGGAGAGAAGAGCAAUUUGGGGGGACUAGUAUUCAGAGACAGUCUAUAUGUUCUACCCAAAUCCGAAACUCCACACUGGAGUCCUGCAGGAAGGAAACUAGGAGCGAACCAGCCAUAGUGUUCUAGGCUCUCUGUGUGAGCUCACUGAAGCCGUGAAACCUGCUGUUUAUUGUAGAGUCCAUUUUACAAAUGAAGAAAGUGAGCCUCAAAAAGGUCUUGUCAGGCCAGGCAUGGUGGCUCAUGCCUGUGAUUCUAGCACUUUUGGAGGCUGACACAGAAGGAUUGCUUGAGCCCAGGAGUUCAAGACCAGCCUGGGCAGCACUGUGAGAUCUUGUCUCUACAAAAAAUCAAAAAAUUAGCUGAGCAUGGUGACACACAUCUGUGGUCCCAGCUACUCAGGAGGCUGAGGCCGGAGGAUGGCUUGGGCCUGGGAGGUCAUGGCUGCAAUGAGUCGUGAUUGUGCCACUGCACUCCAGUCUGGAAAACAGAGUAAGACUUUGUCUCAAAAAAAAAAAAAAAAAAGUUUACUCACUUGCCCCAUUCCUGCAAUUAGAAAAUAGUCAAGCUGAGUUACAUCACCAAAUCCCCUUCUUUCCAGUAUGCCCCAAACUAUCCCCACCUAUCUUGAACUCCAGUUUGACAGACAUCCUGAAAUGGGCUCAUAGUAGCCUCACGACACCCUCCUCACUCCCUGCCCCUGACUGAUUUCCUCUGCCCUCAGCUUUUUAGGUGAGUUUUUGGGGGCUUUUUGGCUUGUUGUUUUUUUUUGAGAUGGAGUUUCACUUUUGUUACCCAGGCUGGAGUGCAAUGACAUGAUCUCGGCUCACUGCAAUCUCCACCUCCCAGGUUCAAGCGAUUCUCCUGCCUCAGCCUCUCGAGUAGCUGGGAUUACAGGCAUGUGCCACCAUACCCGGUGGUCAUUUUUUUGUAUUUUAGUAGAGACAGGGUUUCUCCAUGUUGGUCAGGCUGGUCUCAGACUCCUGACCUCAGGUAAUCCAUCCGCCUCAGCCUCCCAAAGUGCUGGGAUUACAGGCAUGAGCCACCGCUCCCAGCCCUAGGUGAGAUCUUUAAAAUAAGUGGCUAUAGGCUGAAAGUACCUCCUGUGAUGAACUAGUUCACCCAGGCCCUGGACCGCCAAACAACUACUCGGCUGCUUAAGAGGGCUCACGAGUACAGACCAGAGACAAAGCAGGAGAAGAAGCAGAGGCUUUUGGCCCAGGCCAAGAAGAAAGCUGCCGGCAAAGAGGACGUCCCCACUAAGACACCACCUGUCCUUUGAGCAGGAGUUAACACUGUCACCAGCUUGGUGGAAAACAGGAAAGCUCAGCUGGUAGUGACUGCACACAACAUGGAUCCCAUCAAGCUGGCUGUCUCCCUGCCUGCCCUGUGUUGUACAAUGGGGGUUCCUUACUGCAUUAUCAAGGGGAAGGCAAGAUUGGGACAUCUAGUCCACAGGAAGACCUGCAUUACUUUCGCCUUCACACAAGUUGACUCAGAAGACAAAGGCACUUUGGCUAAGCUGGUGGAAGGUAUCAGGACCAAUUUCAAUGACAGAUGAGAUUCACCAUCACUGGGGAGGCAAUGUCUGGGUCCCAAGUCUGUGGCUCGCAUUGCCAAGCUCGAAAAGGCAAAGGCUAAAGAACUUGCCACCAAGCUGGGUUAAAUGUGCACUGUUCAGUUUUCUCUAUGUAAAAAUAAUUAAAACAAUACAAAUUUUCCUUCAAAAAAUAAAGAAUAAGAUAAGCAGUUUUGGAAGGGAGUUUGCAUUUUCAAUUAAUGCAACCAUUAACUAUUCAUUAUUAUCCUCCUGUGGCCCUUCAUAAAUUACCAUUCAAUUUCAGCAAUAGGAAACACGUAUUGCCAACAAUGUUAGUUUAGCUUUCUCCUUACAAAAAAUAAUUUUUUUCUUUUCUUGCUGUGUUGUCCAGAUUGGACUUGAACUACUGGGCUCAAGCAAUCCUCUGACCUCAGCCUCACAAACAGCUGGGACUGCAGGCGCUCCACCAUGCCUAGCCUCUUCCUACAAAUUAAAAUGAAUAACUUCCUCUUUCCCCAACUCCAGGCAAAUCUGAUGCUUUGCAAAUCUGAUGUUCUCUCUGGUGGCUCUUUUCACACCUUUCCAUGAUCCAGAUUUCCUAACCACCUAAUGUAAACUCCUCAAAAGCCUUUUGAAAAGAUUUGAGGCUUAAACAUGUAAAUAAAUAAAUAAAUAAAUGAUGGUUUGAAAUAUCCCUAAGUGUUUUCUAGAUUCAGUGUACUCUCAAUCAAAGUGCUAAUAGUGCAUUUGUGUAUUCUGUGAUGUCACAGCUAAAUAGAAAUUUCACAUGGAAGUGUAGAGGUCUAAGAAUAGCCAAGACAUUCUUUUUUUUUUUUCUUUUAAUGACAGGGUGUUCCUCUGUCACCCAGGCUGGAGUGCAGUGGUGCAAUCAUGGCUUACUGUGUCCUCAACCUCCUGGGCUCAAGCAAUCCUCUCACCUAAGCCUCCUGAGUAACUGACACCACAGGUGCACACUACCACACCCAGCUAAUAUAUAUAUUUGGGGUGUGUGUGUGUGUGUGUGUGUGUUGCCAAGUUGGUCUUGAACUCCUGUACUCAAGCAGUCCUCCCACCUCAGCCUGCCAAAGUGUUGUGAUUUCAGGCAUAAGCCACCAUGUCUAGAUUCUGGUCACCGAGGCUGGAGUGCAGUGGCAUGAUCUUGACUCACUGCAGUCUCAAACUCCUAGGCUCAUGUGAUUCUCCCACCUCAGCCUUCCAAGUAUCUGGGACUGCAGGUGCACACCACCAUGCCUGGCUAAAUUUUUUGCACUUAUAGUAGAGAUGGGGUUUCAACAUGUUUCCCAGACUGAUCUCAAACUCCUGGACUCAAGUAAUCCACCUGUCUCAGUCUCCCAAAGUGCUGGGCUUAUAGGCAUGAGCCACUGCACCUAGCCUCAAUACAGUCUUAAAUAAAGAAAUAAGGAAAACGAGAUGGGGGGUUCUUUCCUAUCAGUUAACAAGGCUUGUAAAACUAUGGUAGUUAACACUGUGAUACUGACUCAAGGGCAGAAAAAAUGGACCAAUGAGGCAGAAUAGAGAUCCUAGAGUCAGAAGUAUAUAUAUAUAAAAUCAAUGACAGGGUUAGUUUUGUUUUGGGGAAAGUGAGAUUUGUGGUUUUUUUAUUAGAAGAAAUUUGAGACAGAGUCUUGCUCUGUCACCCAGGAUGGAGUGCAAUGGCACAAUCGCAACUCACUGCAGUCUUUACCUCUCAGGCUCAAUUGAUCCUCCUGCCUCAGUCUCCCAAGUAGCUGGGACUAUAGGUGUGCCACCACACCCAGCUAGUUUUGUUAUUGUUGUUGCCUGCAGAG
rnacentral:lncRNA from 1 species